rnacentral:rRNA from 1 species
GACGAACGCUGGCGGCGUGCUUAACACAUGCAAGUCGAACGGAAAGGCCCUGCUUUUGUGGGGUGCUCGAGUGGCGAACGGGUGAGUAUCACGUGAGUAACCUGCCCUUGACUUUGGGAUAACUUCAGGAAACUGGGGCUAAUACCGGAUAGGAGCUCCUGCUGCAUGGUGGGGGUUGGAAAGUUUCGGCGUUUGGGGAUGGACUCGCGGCUUAUUAGCUUGUUGGUGGGGUAGAGGCUUACCAAGGCUAUGACGGGUAGCUGGCCUGAGAGGGUGACCGGCCAAACUGGAACUGAGACACGGUCCAGACUCCGACGGGAGGCAGCAGUGGGGAAUAUUGGACAAUGGGCGCAAGCGUGAUCCAGCCAUACCGCGUGGGUGAAGAAGGCCUUAGGGUUGUAAAGCCCUUUUGUUGGGAAAGAAAAGCAGCAGGUUAAUACCCCGCUGUUCUGACGGUACCCAAAGAAUAAGCACCGGCUAACUUCGUG